GGUCAUGAGUGCCAGCGUCAAGCCCCGGCUCGCUGGCCGGCAACCCUCCCUCCGCGGCGGGGUGCCCCGGGUGACGACCAGGCCGUGCGGGCACUCCCGCGCGGCAAGCGCCGAGA
rnacentral:ncRNA from 2 species